rnacentral:rRNA from 1 species
GACGAACGCUGGCGGCGUGCCUAAUACAUGCAAGUUGAGCGAUGAAGAUUGGUGCUUGCACCAAUUUGAAGAGCAGCGAACGGGUGAGUAACGCGUGGGGAAUCUGCCUUUGAGCGGGGGACAACAUUUGGAAACGAAUGCUAAUACCGCAUAACAACUUUAAACAUAAGUUUUAAGUUUGAAAGAUGCAAUUGCAUCACUCAAAGAUGAUCCCGCGUUGUAUUAGCUAGUUGGUGAGGUAUAGGCUCACCAAGGCGAUGAUACAUAGCCGACCUGAGAGGGUGAUCGGCCACAUUGGGACUGAGACACGGCCCAAACUCCUACGGGAGGCAGCAGUAGGGAAUCUUCGGCAAUGGACGAAAGUCUGACCGAGCAACGCCGCGUGAGUGAAGAAGGUUUUCGGAUCGUAAAACUCUGUUGGUAGAGAAGAACGUUGGUGAGAGUGGAAAGCUCAUCAAGUGACGGUAACGACCCAGAAAGGGACGGCUAACUACGU